CUUGGCUAAUGUGUCUUGGCUAAUGUGUCUUGGCUAAUGUGUCUUGGCUAAGGUGUCUUGGCUAAGGUGUCUUGGCUAAGGUGUCUUGGCUAAGGUGUCUUGGCUAAUGUGUCUUGGCUAAUGUGUCUUGGCUAAUGUGUCUUGGCUAAGGUGUCUUCGCUAAGGUGUCUUCGCUAAUGUGUCUUGGCUAAGGUGUCUUGGCUAAGGUGUCUUGGCUAAUGUGUCUUGGCUAAGGUGUCUUGGCUAAUGUGUCUUGGGUAAGGUGUCUUGGCUAAGGUGUCUUGGCUAAGGUGUCUUGGCUAAUGUGUCUUGGCUAAGGUGUCUUGGCUAAGGUGUCUUGGCUAAGGUGUCUUGGCUAAUGUGUCUUGGCUAAGGUGUCUUGGCUAAGGUGUCUUGGCUAAGGUGUCUUGGCUAAGGUGUCUUGGCUAAUGUGUCUUGGCUAAUGUGUCUUGGGUAAGGUGUCUUGGCUAAUGUGUCUUGGCUAAGGUGUCUUGGCUAAGGUGUCUUGGCUAAUGUGUCUUGGCUAAUGUGUCUCGGCUAAGGUGUCUUGGCUAAGGUGUCUUGGCUAAUGUGUCUUGGUUAAUGUGUCUUGGCUAAGGUGUCUUGGCUAAGGUGUCUUGGCUAAGGUGUCUUGGCUAAUGUGUCUUGGCUAAUGUGUCUUGGCUAAUGUGUCUUGGCUAAUGUGUCUUGGCUAAGGUGUCUUGGCUAAUGUGUCUUGGCUAAGGUGUCUUGGCUUAUGUGUCUUGGCUAAUGUGUCUUGGCUAAGGUGUCUUGGCUAAUGUGUCUUGGCUAAUGUGUCUUGGCUAAGGUGUCUUGGCUAAUGUGUCUUGGCUAAUGUGUCUUGGCUAAGGUGUCUUGGCUAAUGUGUCUUGGCUAAGGUGUCUUGGCUAAUGUGUCUUGGCUAAUGUGUCUUGGCUAAGGUGUCUUGGCUAAUGUGUCUUGGCUAAUGUGU